rnacentral:rRNA from 1 species
AUGCAAGAUCAACUCAAUAUAGUAAACAAGAAAAUCACUCACCCAUGGAAACAAACAUCGGUCCCAAGGAUGAAGUAUAUUAGGAGGAGGGAUAGAUAUGGUUGUCAAAGGGACAAAUAUGGGAAUGCCAAUGGAAGAGACAUAGCAAGACAUGAGGGCGAAGAGUAUGCUUUGGUGCGGCUGGAUGCAGUCGACAUAGGUUACCCGGACAGUGGAGUCACCGAGGCGAGGGAAACAAUGGUGGGCUCUAGGGCAGUUGGAGGGGCCAGUGUCAUGGUGAUGCAAUUAAUACAUGAUAAGAAGGGGAGGGCAGGAGGCGAGCCAUGGAGCAUGAGGGGGCUGGCGGGAUCUCAUCAGUGUAGAGUGACGUGA